GUGUCAGCAGCCGCGGUAAUACGUAGGGGGCGAGCGUUGUCCGAAGUCACUGGGCGUAAAGCGCGCGUAGGCGGGCUGUUAAGUCGGAAGUGAAAGGCUGGGGCUCAACCCCACGCAGGGCUUCUGAUACUGGCGGUCUUGAGGGCGGUAGGGAGAAGUGGAAUGGCUGGUGUAGCGGUGAAAUGCGUAGAUAUCAGUCGGAACACCGGUGGCGAAGGCGGCUUCUUGGGCCGUUCCUGACGCUGAGGCGCGAAAGCCAGGGGAGCAAACGGGAUUAGAUACCCCCGUAGUCC
rnacentral:rRNA from 1 species